GAUGAACGCUGGCGGCGUGCCUAAUACAUGCAAGUCGAGCGAACAGACGAGGAGCUUGCUCCUCUGACGUUAGCGGCGGACGGGUGAGUAACACGUGGAUAACCUACCUAUAAGACUGGGAUAACUUCGGGAAACCGGAGCUAAUACCGGAUAAUAUAUUGAACCGCAUGGUUCAAUAGUGAAAGACGGUUUUGCUGUCACUUAUAGAUGGAUCCGCGCCGCAUUAGCUAGUUGGUAAGGUAACGGCUUACAAAGGCAACGAUGCGUAGCCGACCUGAGAGGGUGAUCGGCCACAUUAGAACUGAGACACGGUCCAGACUCCUACGGGAGGCAGCAGUAGGGAAUCUUCCGCAAUGGGCGAAAGCCUGACGGAGCAGCGCCGCGUGAGUGAUGAAGGUCUUCGGAUCGUAAAACUCUGUUAUUAGGGAAGAACAAAUGUGUAAGUAACUAUGCACGUCUUGACGGUACCUGAUCAGAAAGCCACGGCUAACUACGUG
rnacentral:rRNA from 1 species